rnacentral:lncRNA from 1 species
CAAAUAUGAGAGAGGUGAGGCUAUGUAGUGCGCUCCCAUUCUCUGGAGUGUUUUCUCUUUCUGAAACUGUCUCUAUUUCCGUUUCUAGACAUUUCCCUGUUUAAUGCUUUGCUACAUACAGUACACAAGAAUCUGCAUACUUCAGCAUGUGGCCUGGGACUUCAGAUCCAUGUCUACAACACCUGGUGAGCCGGCCAGAAGAAAGAGAUCCAAGCAAAUUGAUAACCAAGAUCAACCAUUCUGAGCUGAAUACAUGGUUUAGCAGGACUCAGAAGAGCUACAGAAGACUAUGACUCACUUCCGCCUUUCCUGUCAUACAGCAGAAGCCCAACUAACAGAACUCCAACAUCUUAAAAGCCCUGUUAUGGUUUGAAUGUGAAAGUUUCCCCAUAGGCUCAAAUGUCUAACAUUUGGUGUUGAAGUUUAAGAAGGGUAACCUUGCUGAAGGAAGUGGGAAAUGGGGCUGGCCUUGAGGGUGCACACCCUAGCCCUAUCUCCUGUCCUCGCUCUGCUUCAUGACUGUGGACACAAUGUGGACUAGCUACUUCAUAGCCCUCAUUAAACGGUGAG